GACGAACCGUGCGAACGUUAUUCGGAAUCACUGGGCUUAAAGCGCGUGUAGGCGGGAUGGCACGUCGGUCGCUGAAAUCCCUCGGCUCAACCGGGGAACGACGCAUGAAACUGGCAGCUAGAGUACCAAAGAGGGGGGUGGAAUUCCCGGUGUAACGGUGAAAUGCGUAGAUAUCGGGAGGAACACCUGUGGCGAAGGCGGCCCCCUGGUUGGAUACUGACGCUGAUACGCGAAAGCGUGGGGAGCAAACAGG
rnacentral:rRNA from 1 species